rnacentral:rRNA from 1 species
AAGGAUCAUUACAGAGACGGACAUCCCGUCCGCAGGGUGGCUUCGGCCCCCGCCUCUCAACCCCGUGAUUACAUACCUUUCUGUUGCUUUGGCGGGCCUUGGGGUCAUGCCCAUGCCGGCUCUGCCCGGAGAGCGCCCGCCGAUAGCCCCUCACAACUCGUUUUAUCAGUGAAGUCCGAGCACAAAUCUAAAUAAUCAAAACUUUCAACAACGGAUCUCUUGGUUCUGGCAUCGAUGAAGAACGCAGCGAAAUGCGAUAAGUAAUGUGAAUUGCAGAAUUCAGUGAAUCAUCGAAUCUUUGAACGCACAUUGCGCCCCUCGGUAUUCCGGGGGGCAUGCCUGUUCGAGCGUCAUUACACCCCUCAAGCGUAGCUUGGUAUUGGGCCCUCGCCCCCUGGGCGUCCCCGAAAGUCAUGGGCGGUCCGGAGUGACUUUAAGCGUAGUAAAUUACCUCCCGCUUUGAAAGCUCGCCCCGCGGCCGGCCCGAAAGCCCNAUAAUCUAUCAACGAUUGACCUCGGAUCAGGUAGGGAUACCCGCUGAACUUAA